GCGCGGCAGGACGGAAAGACCCCGGGACCUUUACUAUAGUUUGGUAUUGGUUUUCGGUUCGGCUUGUGUAGGAUAGGUGGGAGACUGUGAAGCGGUGACGCUAGUUACUGUGGAGUCGUUGUUGAAAUACCACUCUGGUCGAAUUGGGAAUCUGAACCUCGGGCCAUGAUCUGGUUCAGGGACAGUGCCUGAUGGGUAGUUU
rnacentral:rRNA from 1 species